GGUCCUAUAGCUCAGUCGGUUAGAGCACACGACUUAUAAUCGUGAGGUCGCUGGUUCAAUCCCAGCUAGGACUA
rnacentral:tRNA from 1 species